AAGUAGAUCCAGAAAACUGCAGACCAUGUGGUACUAAGCUUAUCACCAUUUGAGUUAAAGUGGAUCUCGAUAAACCACUUAAAAGAGGAUGAUGGCUAUAUACUUCUAGAUCUAACAAAAUGCACUGGGUGAGGUAUCAUUUUAAAAAACAGCCGCAUAAAAUCUAUAAAGAAUGUUUUGUGAUAGAGCAUAACGCAUCAACCUGUGAAGAAAAUGAAAACCAACUCAAAGUGGUGGCCUAUACUCCAGUGGAAUUUUACCAAUGGUGCCAAAAUCAUACAGAUGGCCAAGCGUUCAUGGCUGUCAUUGCAGAAGAAUAUGGGUGCCUUAAUAAGAAUCGUGCCUUAUCUUCAUCGACAAAACCAAAUAUUUCACAAGAAGGAGAGUGGUUUAAUAAUAGAAAGCGAUUGAAAAAUACGGAUACUGAAACCGAAGACUUGGAGAUUGAGGUCACUGAGAUGAAUUAUCCUGAUUCUGUGAGAUCUACUGCAAAUCAAAUCGUGGAGGGUGAUGUAGAGAUGCGAUGGAGAUUUUGAUACACAUGUUCUUGGAAAUCUCAAUAAUGGAACACAUGAUGGAACUGCAAACAAGGAUUGGAAUACCUUUAAAAGGUGUGAAGACAGGCUCAUUUGGAUUCCUGCAUCUAAUGGAAUAUUUACAGUUAAAACUUCUUAUCAAGCAGUUGACAAACAUGAUAGUAGUGUUACUAUUACUUCAGCAACCUUUCCGUGGAAAUAAUUAUGGAAGUUAGUGCUGCCACCAAAAGUCCUACACUUCCUUUGGAAGUGUGUGCAUAAAUGUCUUCCUGUUAAGAGUAAAAUCUUUACGAAUACAAUAGUUUUGCAGGUACAAUCCUUGGAGCAAAGGGUAUCCCAUCAGUAGCAGAGGAUAAAGAGCAGGCAGAAGCAAUGGCGGCAUUGGAGGCAGUUAAAAUGGCAAAAAAAAAAAAAAUGCAAAUCACAAACCUGCAGUUGCAAGGAGAUUGUCUUAAUGUUGUUAACACUUUAAAAGGGAGAGUUGGGUCCAUCAAAUGGACAAACAAUGCAAUUAUAAGGGAUUGUUUAGAAUUGCUUAAAUUUUCUAACAAGUGGGAUGUGUCUUAUAUUUCCAGAGCCACAAAUAGUGUGGCUGAUGUACUUUCCAAAAAUGUAAGUAGUAGUACUAGUAUAAUCAGAUGGGAAGAAAUGAUUCCCAGUUGAUUAGAAGAUCUCAUUAGAGAAAAAUUUAAUGUAAUUGAAGUUUAAGCAAUGAAAAUCUCCUUACCUAUUAAAAAAA